rnacentral:lncRNA from 1 species
CACAAAUGACCACUUCAAAGAACAUGCAAGUAUCUAUGUCAUUAACAAUUGCAAACAUAAGUUUCUUUUUACUACAGUUGUUGUAUGUACUAUCACACAGUUCCUCAUUCUGUUCUCACUCAAUAAUAAGAAAAAUGAAAAGAAAAGAUAGAGAUAAUCUGCCGCAAUUGCACUUCGGUGUCAUGGAUUCAGUCUGCCGCUCAACAUCUCAUUAUCCGGCAGCACUCUGUCGCUAUCUUCUAUCUAUGAAUAAAAACAGACCUUGUCAGAGAAGAAAAUGUGAAACCUUAUUACAACAUGUAUGCUAAGUCGCUAACCCAUAGAGACAGCUAGAACAAAUAUGGAAACUUUCCAUGUUGCCGAGUAAGUAUAUUAACUAGACAAAGUUAGAUGACAGUGAAGCUUAAAUCUGCAGUAAGAAAUAUUAGAUAUACACAUAUUGAAAAUCAACCUCAGAAGUGGAUACUCUAGUAGACCUGCAGGAGCAGAUAUGGUAGUAACCAAAAUCCUAUAAAGAUUCGAGGUUAAAGAUUAUAAAUCCAAUUUGUCAUUAGCAUAAAAAUAUUAGUUCCAUGAAGAAGUUUGUCAAGAGAUAUUUUCUAAUGUUUCUAAGACAGUGACUAAAACGUAAUGAAAGAAAACAUGUUUCUGCAUUUUAAUUAGGGGGAGCUUUAGUUCUAAAAUACUUGAACUGUGACUGAAUGAUCAUAUAUACUAUUAGAAAAAUAGACCAAAAUCUCCGCAGAACAAAACAGACCAAAAAAUUAACUUCCUACUUACAGUGGCAAGAAAAUCUUAUAUGAAUGUGUUAUAAUAAAUAAUGCUAACCAUGAAGUAUUCUUCCAUAUAACAAAGGAGUGACGAAACCAAAAAACCUGUAAUUCAAGUACGACAUGCAGUUAGUUAAUUAUUUGAAUGUCAACAGUUCUAACGUCUAGCUACAGAUCUUCAAAGUAAAGAUUGUGAACUCUAUUAGACAUGAUUAUAUCAAUUAGACCAAAUAGAAAAUAAUUCAAUAUGUUGUAUAUCCAUUAAACGAAGUUCAAUCUAUCUUCUGAUUAUUAGUGUUUCAGUUAGGUGAUUAGUCCUUCUACGGCCGCCGGUUAAUAGGUGAGCCAUGACUUUUUACAGUAAAAAAUGCAAAGGAAAUAACAAGUUAGUAUUUUUCCAAAACUAAUUAUAUGGCCACGUUGAUCACACCUUACUAAUUCUAGCCGGACACUAGUAACACAAGAAAAACUCCCAUGCUUUAUCGGUGCACAUUCACCAUUUGAUAGUGUGAUCAUUUGAGAUCACUAAAUCAUCUUCUAUACGACGUAGGCCAGUAACAUUUACAUCAGCUUGCUCACUUGUAGCUGCUGGAGCAACCAAAUCAUCCUGAGCCAAUACAGAGUUGCUGCUCAGGCCAAGAACAACAGCUGUAACAAGACUGGAAUUAGGAUUGCCAUGGUACCAAAUAUGAUAUUUAUUUCAUUAAAUCAAAUGGAGGUGGCUGCAUAUGCAGAGAGCAGACCUGCUUGCCCAAUCAGUAUAGCGGCACAUGCUGCCAUGCAGGAGCACGCGGCACCUAUGACCUUCGCUCGGGUUGAUGAUGAUGCCUCGCUUGAUACUCCCUUGUCCGCUGAGACGACACUCUAUCGCUGCUGCGGCCACCAGUGGCAUUCUGCUCAAUGGCGGCCAAGGCAUGCCUUGUGGAUGUCCAGGAAGCUUGAAUCAGGCUGGAUCUGAGAAGAAACAGAGCAUGGCCGUGUGAUGUCCUGGCUGAAUCAGAGUACAUUUCCUAAGGAAAUAAAAUGGGUAAAAGGAGGAGCGUAUAAUAAGCAAAAGUGCAGAACAACAUUCUUAAUUAAAUUUAACCCUGGCAGAAUACUUGGUUAUCCGGUGCAAAAUGGUUGCCUUUUAAACUAUGGAACACAAAGAAUCAUCAUUAGCCGUCAAUGCAAAUCAGCUUCUCUCCAUAGAGAAGAGAAGACGUCUUGGUAUCUUGGAUGCAUGAAGCACACCGUAUAUGCUAAUCUGAUCAGAGCAUUUUCUUUUUCAAUUUAACGGCGCAAUGCCCACAUCCCCACCCAUAGAUGUUUUGUUUGUGUACGAAUAGUACAAUGUUUUCUUUUCAAUUUAAUGAGCAAAGUUUAAGGUCCAUAGGCUCCUUUGUAUCCUGUGGAACACAGAAUUCUACAUUGAUUGAACAAACUGACAUUUCAACAUUCCUAGAGGCAUUGUUGCAAACACCUUGCGAGCGAGCUCAGAGCGUGCACCUGCUGCAUAGACUAGACUAAUCUAAUCGCAAGCCGUCCUACUAGUAGCAGUUCAGCAGAAGGAUCCUACUAGUUCAUCUACUAAACUUACAUAAACUAAAUCUUACUAGCUCAAUCAGAAUACUAUGGUUUCUACAAAACUGUACUUUUGAGUACUGUGAGGUGUUUGCCUAAACCAACAAAACUGUACAUUUGUAGCACUCAUUUGCUCAUACAAUCAUUCAAAAUUCAGAAGUAGAAAUAGAAGCUUAUGUAGUUGGUGAUCAACCGUAGCUAAUGGACUAUAGAAUUCACUGCUCCUCACUUGUGAUAAAUUAGGCUAAAAAAUUGCAUGUUCAAUUUUGCAUCAACCGAACUUAAGAGAACAGAGAAACCGGACCUUGGGCUGUAGCUCUUGGCGAGGUAUCUCCUGACACCAGGGUUUAUCCGCACAAUCCUCCGGAUUGAGUCAUCGGUGUCAUUAGCAUAUCCCACCCACCAAUCUACCUGAAAAUGAAAUUGGCUAGAGUCAAACCCAACAACGCGUGCUGCAGGAUGGCAUCAAAAGCCCACUUGAUGGAUUAUCUAGUGUUUACAACUUUGGCCAUAUCUGGAAUAGACAUGUGUGUAUUCUUUUGCAUAUAUAAAGGAUCGAACAACAGAGGAAUUAUCACUAGCCAUGGUUUGUUAUUACUUAUAUUAGGACCAACACCUUACUUAUAUUACACCUCAUGGAUAGUUGUUCAGCAAACAGAGACCACGCUUUACAUGAUGAUGUCCCCUUUUUGCUGAGCUUUUACAAAAAUAGGUACUCACAUUUGACAUAAUUUCUCAUCUUUAGAUGCCAAUCCCUUUUGCUGGAUGUUUAUUAUAUAUACAAAACAGCACAACGGUACACAGGCAACUGGGACGAUCAUGUUUAGGUACAAAUAUAGUUUGCUGGGUAUUAAGGAGCACCAUGGACUAGAAUUCCUAACUGAAGAUUCACAAAAUCAAGACCAGCAUGAAACUAAUUGAGCACUUGGACUGGAACAAUACACUCACACAUGGGCGAAAGCUAAUGAGGCAAGAGCUUACGACAAGAUGUAUGUCCAGAACUGCUUGUCCUUCAUGUGGCAUGGGCACAGAUCAUAGCGGACCUUAGCGAGUUCCUGCCGGGAUCACAAAUUACAGUUUGAGACCUGAGAGCCAUCUCUGUCUUGGGAGAAGUGGAGGACGAGAUCCGCGGGAGACCUACCUUGGCUCUGGCGAGCACGAGGACGGCGUGCCGCUGCUGCCAAUCCGAGAGCUCGGCCGCCAACUCCUAGGAUCCUCCUGCGACAAAGCAUAGCACCGCCUGUAAUCGAGAGGAAACUAGCAGGGGAGCGGAAUCGAGAAGGGAGGAAGGAGGGGGUGCCUUGGUGGAGCUGGGGGGGAAGGACUUGAAGGCGUCGGGGGAGAGUGUCCGGAGGAAGUCAAGGAGCUACGGCGUGACGCCGAGCUCCUCCGCGUCCUCCUCCUUCCCCUCCAUGGCGGAGGGUUUGCUUGGGCCGGUUCCGCCGCUGCCGCUGCCGCCGGCUCGGCGGCGGAACGACCAUGGGAACGAGGAGAAGGCCAUCGGCGGGCAGGUGGGCUAGGACGGGAUGCGGUCGGCGACGGCGAUAUGAUGGAUACGAGAUUUGUCGGCGAGCUUGCUGGACUGGGGGGAGGGGAGGGCAACGGCGCGAGACCGGGAGCGGCGGCCACGCGGCCGCCGGCGUGGCGCACACAGCGGGGGAUGGAGGCGGAGGGGAUCUGGAUCGGGCGUUGGUGGAUUUUUUUAGACAGACAUGGGUUGUGUGGUGUGGGACGGUUGCGGGUGGGAGUGUAUCCGGCGGGGGUGGGUGGCAUGGGAGACUAGUAGUAGCGCGGGUGUCUGACCUGCGCUAUGGCUAUCCACGUAGUAGUAGCGUAGGUUUUACAACCCGCGCUACUACUACGGCUGGUCCCGGGAGGCACGGUGGAAAUAACUUAGUAGUAGUGAGGGGUAAAAACCCACGCUACUACUAUCAGGUUAUUAGUAGCGCGGUUUUCUCAAGCUCGCUACUGCUAAUUAGCAGUAGCAUUUGUUUUUAAACCGCGCUGCUGCUAAGAUUCUAUGUAUAAGGUUUUCCCUAGUAGUGACAAUUUGGUCUUGCACAUGUAGGUCCUGCUGUCAGCGGUUUUGACCCACUGUUUGACCCUUUUUGCAUAUGGGGAAAUGAGUUGUCCAUGAAUAUCAGUUAAGUCAAGAAACUCAGAAAGAUUGUUAGGAUAAAGAAAUUAGUGAAAAAAACAACAAGAUCUUUGUCUGCACAAUGAAGAAGGCAUCAGUUCACUACAAGAUGGUACUAACGAUUAUACCUUGCCUUUUUUAUUCAUUUUCCCUAUUUCCAAUAUAGGGAAGAUAUUUAUGCACAUCCUUAUUUUCGGGCCUUUCCAAAGAAGUUCACUGAUGAUUACCUCUCAAACCACUUGUAUGGUCGGGAGGCGAGGAAGAUAUUCAUACAACACCCAUAGGUCAAUAUUGAAGUGUUCCUGAAGAGUAGGAAGGAUGGACGGUCAAUCAUCCACGGGCACUGGCCUAAAGUUACAAAGACCUUCAACAUC